UAUGUUUGGAAGGGAUAAACGCUGAAAGCAUCUAAGCGUGAAGCCCACCCUAAGAUGAGAUUUCCCAUUGUCCACACGUAAGUGUGGUGCAAGUAAGACUCCUGGAAGACCACCAGGUUGAUAGGUUAGAGGUGUAAGCAUGGUAACAUGUUCAGCUGACUAAUACUAAUAAGUCGAGGGCUUGACCAAGAUAACA
rnacentral:rRNA from 1 species